GAUCAUACAGAGCAGAUUCGCAUGCCCCCUGCACAAGGAGGAUGCACAAAUAUGUGAACCAUUCCAUGUGAUG
rnacentral:snRNA from 1 species